rnacentral:rRNA from 1 species
AACGAACGCUGGCGGCAUGCCUAACACAUGCAAGUCGAACGAGACCUUCGGGUCUAGUGGCGCACGGGUGCGUAACGCGUGGGAACCUGCCCUUAGGUUCGGAAUAACUCCCCGAAAGGGGUGCUAAUACCGGAUAAUGUCUUCGGACCAAAGAUUUAUCGCCUUUGGAUGGGCCCGCGUUGGAUUAGCUAGUUGGUAGGGUAAAAGCCUACCAAGGCGACGAUCCAUAGCUGGUCUGAGAGGAUGAUCAGCCACACUGGGACUGAGACACGGCCCAGACUCCUACGGGAGGCAGCAAUGGGGAAUAUUGGACAAUGGGCGAAAGCCUGAUCCAGCAAUGCCGCGUGAGUGAUGAAGGCCUUAGGGUUGUAAAGCUCUUUUACCCGGGAUGAUAAUGACAGUACCGGGAGAAUGAGCUCCGGCUAACUCCGUG